UACGAAGGGGGCAAGCGUUGUUCGGAAUUAUUAGGCGUAAAGGGCGCGUAGGCGGUGCGGUAAGUCACCUGUGAAAUCUCCUGGCUCAACUGGGAGCUUGCAGGCGAAACUGCCGUGCUGGAGUGUGGGAGAGGUGCGUGGAAUUCCUGGUGUAGCGGUGAAAUGCGUAGAUAUCAGGAGGAACACCUGUGGCGAAAGCGGCGCACUGGACCACAACUGACGCUGAGGCGCGAAAGCUAGGGGAGCAAACAGG
rnacentral:rRNA from 1 species